UGCGUCUGUAGCUCAGUGGAUAGAGCGCCGGCCUCCGGAGCCUGAGGCGUAGGUUCGAUUCCUAUCAGACGCAU
rnacentral:tRNA from 2 species